GACGAACGCUGGCGGCGUGCUUAACACAUGCAAGUCGAACGGAAAGGCCUGCUUUCCCUUGUGGAUUGCGGGUGCUCGAGUGGCGAACGGGUGAGUAACACGUGAGUGAUCUGCCCCCAACUUGGGUAUAAGCCUGGGAAACUGGGUCUAAUUCCCGAUAGGACUGCAGGGUGGUGCCUGUGGUGGAAAACGAUUUUCUAGUGGUUGGGGAUGAGCUCGCGGCCUAUCAGCUUGUUGGUGGGGUAAUGGCCUACCAAGGCGGCGACGGGUAGCCGGCCUGAGAGGGUGGACGGGCACAUUGGGACUGAGAUACGGCCCAGACUCCGACGGGAGGCAGCAGUGGGGAAUAGUGGACAAUGGGCGGAAGCCUGAUGCAGCGACGCCGCGUGGGGGAUGACGGCCUUCGGGUUGUAAACUCCUUUCGACCGCGAGGAAGCCACCUGGUUGGAAGGGUGGUGACGGUAGUGGUAGAAGAAGCACCGGCUAACUACGUG
rnacentral:rRNA from 1 species